ACACUGUGGCCUCAGGUCCUGGGGUUCCCUCCUUGGUGAAGAGAGAAGGCUUUUUCCAUCUAGUACAGGCUGGCGCUGAGGCUCGCCACCAUAGGAAGGGCAGAGUAUGUGCUAGAAGAAGACCUUUAGCCAGCGGGAGUGGGGGAGGGGUGGACGCGGACAGCCUUUUCCUCCCAGCUGGGACAAGAAUGGGGGCGGCUGGAGAGUCAGAGACAGCCAGGCAGGCAGGCAGCUGGGGGCCUGGUUUCUCCCUCUGAGCAGAGUCUGGGAAUCCUGGAGAUGCGGGGAACCAGGUCCUCAAGGAAGCUGUGACCUAAUAAGGGCAGUGAGGCAGAGCUCAGUGUCCCAAGAAGAGAUGACAAGGGCAAGGCUGUUGAUGCCUCAGAAAACUCCGCUGUGUGCUCCUGAGAGAAGGAGAGCAGGAAGGCAAAGAACGUUUCUGAAAGUGGACCACACUGCCAGAACCGUGGACUCGGGGCCUUCUGAAGUUGGUUAUGUACCUAACCAGAGGGUCUUAACUGAGGCAGUGGUUGACCUGUCAGCCCCAGGAAUAUGGCUUUGAUUUGCUAACAGGUCCUAAUGAAGUUAUUUAUGAAUACAUGAAUAAUCCUUUACGGUAGGAAUGUAGUUGCCACCCUAAACCUCACCUAUUGAUUUCCUGAUGUUUAGUAGAUGGUAGUCACUUAAGGAGCCUUAAUGUGGACACCAUACUCACACACACACACACACACACACACACGCACGCACGUGAGUGCACAGGUGUACAUAGGAAGAGAAGCUGAUGAAAUGUUCAAGGUGGCCAUAAUUGCAGUGUUAUGUCUUCUUUUUAGCUAUUUUUUAAACUAGAUACUGUCAGAAUUGAGUUGAAUUGUAAACAAGUGAUUCAUGCCCAUUGUAGGAAACUUAGGAAAUGCCGGUGGCCGAAGGGAAAGACUGCUUACCCUUAUUCCGCUCCCGCAGGGUUGUCUCUGACAGCAUUUUGGCUAUAGCCUUCUGUGCAGAUACGUUUGUUUUAAAACAAAAGUAGAAACACACUGCACAUAAUUUUUAGAGGCUUGCUUUUUAAUAUUUUACAAUAUUUAUAAGUAUAUAUCCCUCUAAGUAACAUAUACUUCUAUAAUAUUUUUUAAAAGGCUGCUUUCUGUACUCUGUCAUAUAAAUAUAUCCUAAUUUAUUUAACAAACCUCUGAUUGUACAUUUAGUUUGUGUUUUAUUUUGCUAUGAUUAUACAUCUUUGUACCCAUUACCAAUCUGUUUUAACAUAGCUUUUUUAAUGAAAAAUUUCAAGCAAUCGCAAAAGUAGAGAGUGAGGUGGGGAACUCCUGCUUACCCACCACCAGCCUCAGUAAUGACGAGUGUGUCAUCAUCUGUGUCCCCUCCCGCCCCUGCUGGAUUCGAUGCAAAUCUAAGCUCUCAUAUAAUUUCUUCCGUAAAUACUUCAGAAUGUGUUUCUAGAAGAUUAGGGCUCUCUCUUGUUUUAGUAACCUGACCACCAUUCCAUUAUCAAUCUAUAAAAAUUAAUAAUAAUUCUACUCAAAAGAAUUGAAAGCAGGGUCUUGAAGAGGUAUUUGUAUACUCGUGUUCACAGCAGCGUUAUUCGCAACUGCCAAGAGGUGGAAGCAACCCAAGAGUCCGUUGAUGGAUGAAUGGGUAAACAAAACGUGGUGUAUACAUGCAAUGGAAUAUGCGAUAUUGUGAUUUAUAAUAAAUAUAUAUUUGGUCUUCA
rnacentral:lncRNA from 1 species